UCGUUUCUUUCAUCUUGUUGGGGCUUGCGCGAAGGCGACGACGACCAUGGCGCCUGCCAGACCAGGGUAAGCUCUCGCGAUUCUACUGCUAGAUCUUGCUCGAUCGUUCUAGAUAGUCUCUUCUUGCGGAGUUGCCCUAAGAUUCUUGGAAAUCCAGGAAACCCGUGAGAAGAAAUAUCGAGACUAACCUCAUUGAGAUGGAUUUGGACGAUGACGAUGAGGAAGAUCCCAACAUUGGCGAAGACAUGCUUCUAAGUCCAGUGAGUGCUCGCCGGAGAAAUUUUCUUUUAGCUCUUUGUUUGAAGUUGCUCUACACAGGAGGAGAUCAAGAUCUUAGGCGAUAGAGGAUUUGACACCGUCGUAGAACGGCUUAAAGUGCAACUCAGUAAGGUUUGCUUUUGCGCUUGCCAAAGAACUUGGCAACUUUUCUUUGCUCCUUUCGUUUUUGCUUUCUUCUUUCUUCCGAGAACUUAAAUUUUGCCGUUGAUUUUUUGCAGCUGCCAAAACUUCGAGAAUCGAGCACUUGAAAGACGUGAUCGCGCAGCUCGAGAGUGACGUUGAAAAGGCCAGGAAGCUCAUU
rnacentral:lncRNA from 1 species